GAUGAACGCUGGCGGCGUGCCUAAUACAUGCAAGUCGAGCGAACAGACGAGGAGCUUGCUCCUCUUACAUUAGCGGCGGACGGGUGAGUAACACGUGGAUAACCUACCUAUAAGACUGGGAUAACUUCUGGAAACCGGUGCUAAUACCGCAUAAUAUAUUUAACCACAUGGUUCAAUAGUGAAAGACGGUUUUGCUUUCACUUAUAAAUGUAUCGCGUCCUCAUUACCUAGUGGGUAAGGUAACGGCUUACAAAGGCAACGAUGCGUAGCCGACCUGGAAGGUGGACCGGCAACAUUGGAACUGGGACACGCCCAAGCCUCCUCGGGAAGGAGGAAGUGGGGAACUUCGGCCAAUGACGGAAGGCCUGCCGGGCAAAGGCGGCGUGAGGGAUGAAGGUCUUCGGAUCUUAAAACCCGGUGAUUAGGAAGAAAGAAAGGUGUAAGUAAAUAUGCACGAAUUGACGGUACCUACUCAGAAAGCCACGGCUAACUACGUG
rnacentral:rRNA from 1 species